rnacentral:lncRNA from 1 species
UUGCGAUAGUUUACUGAGAAUGAUGAUUUCCAAUUUCAUCCAUGUCCCUACAAAGGACAUGAACUCAUCAUUUUUUAUGGCUGAAUUGAUUUUUGUAUAAGGUGUAAGGAAGGGAUCCAGUUUCAGCUUUCUACAUAUGGCUAGCCAGUUUUCCCAGCACCAUUUAUUAAAUAGGGAAUCCUUUCCCCAUUGCUUGUUUUUCUCAGGUUUGUCAAAGAUCAGAUAGUUGUAGAUAUGCGGCGU